CUACGGAGGGUGCAAGCGUUACUCGGAAUCACUGGGCGUAAAGCGCGCGCAGGCGGCUAUUUAAGUUGGAUGUGAAAGCCUACGGCUCAACCGUAGAACUGCAUCCAAAACUAUUUAGCUAGAGUGUGGGAGAGGAAGAUGGAAUUAGUUGUGUAGGGGUAAAAUCCGUAGAGAUAACUAGGAAUACCAAAAGCGAAGGCAAUCUUCUGGAACACUACUGACGCUGAGGCGCGAAAGCAUGGGGAGCAAACAGGAUUAGAAACCCUAGUAGUCC
rnacentral:rRNA from 1 species